rnacentral:rRNA from 1 species
GAUGAACGCUGGCGGCGUGCCUAAUACAUGCAAGUCGAGCGAACGGACGAGAAGCUUGCUUCUCUGAUGUUAGCGGCGGACGGGUGAGUAACACGUGGAUAACCUACCUAUAAGACUGGGAUAACUUCGGGACACCGGCGCUAAUACCGGAUGAUAUUUUGCACCGCAUGGUUCAAAAGUGAAAGACGGUCUUGCUGUCACUUAUAGAUGGAUCCGCGCUGCAUUAGCUAGUUGGUAAGGUAACGGCUUACCAAGGCAACGAUGCAUAGCCGACCUGAGAGGGUGAUCGGCCACACGGGAACUGAGACACGGUCCAGACUCCUACGGGAGGCAGCAGUAGGGAAUCGUCCGCAAUGGGCGAAAGCCUGACGGAGCAACGCCGCGUGAGUGAUGAAGGUCUUCGGAUCGUAAAACUCUGUUAUUAGGGAAGAACAUAUGUGUAAGUAACUGUGCACAGCUUGACGGUACCUAAUCAGAAAGCCACGGCUAACUACGUG